GUCUAGAGUAGGUCUGGUGGUGAUGGGACCCUAUGUGAGGAUUGAGUAGGUGUUCGAGUCGUGUAGUAGCAAGGUUGCGUCAGUUCCAUGUUUCAUGGUCAGACUCGCUGUGUUGUGCUGAGUAUAGGUGUCUGCAUGCGUUAGUGGAGGUGAGCUGUUUGUCGUGGGUAGCGUGUUUUGGGUUGAUUACCCCUAACCAAGGGGAUUGCGGGGGGGGGGGUGAUUUGUCAGGCGCCCUGUGGUUGGAUGUGUGAUAUGUUGGCUCUCAUUGGCGUAGAGAGGGUGAGUGCAGCAAUGGCCUGUGGUGUUUGGAAAUUGUUAGCGGAGGCUAAAUAGUAAAUAAUAUAAAACGUAAAUAAAGUCACGGAGUGAAAUCAAAAUAUGUGUGCACCAGUCCCGGUGGCAAAGCCUGCGGUGUCAGUCCACUUCAGUCAUGGUACAGGGUGUUGUGAUCCGCUGGGUCUCGGUUCCGACUGGGCGUUGUUCCUGGGGUCCUGUACUUCCAUUUGCGGGCUUUUUCGUGGUGGAAGCAUCGGGUUGGGUAGUUUCAAAGCGGUUAGGAGAAUAGGUGCUUCUUCCACGGAGGUUAGGACAUGGGUAGUGCCUUCUUGGGUUACUUCCAGAGUCCCGUUAGUGCCCCACUUGUAUGCAAUUCCCGCUGCUCGGAGUUGUGUGGUGAGUGGUCCAUACGAUUUGCGCCACACGAGGGUGGCUUUUGAUAUGUCCUGGAAGAACGUCAGGGAAGAGUUCUCAAACAGCAGCGGUGUCUUGCCUUUCAGCCCGGCCAUUAUAUGUAGUUUGUCUUGUACUGUGACACAUCUGAGGAUGACGUCUCUGGCCGUUGGGGUCUUUAGGUGGGGAGGGGUAGGCAAGCGGUAUACCCCAUCUAUGAUCAUUUUCUUUACUGCUGUGUGUGGGAGUACUGUAGCUAGUAGACGUCUGGUGUAAUGCGGCAGCUCUUCGGCCGAUAUCUCUGCAGGGAUGCCCCUGAUUUUUAUGUGUGAGCGGCGUUGUCGAUCUUCCAUGGUUGACAUUUUGAGUGACAGGUACGUUUGUUGUUGCUGGAUUUGUUUGAUGGAGUCUUCCAUCGUGUUUAUGUGAGCAUGUACCGUCACUACUUCUGCCUCCGUGGUGUUCACCUUUUCUGUGACCGUGCGCAGUUUGGUCCUCAAAAGGGCUGA